CAAGAGGCUACUUCUACUAGUGACAUUCUGAAAGUUCCCAAACCUGAACCUAUACCAGAGCCUAAAGAACCUUCUCCGGAAAAAAAUUCCAAAAAAGAAAAGGAGAAGGAGAAGACCCGACCACGAUCUCGGUCACGCUCCAAAUCAAGAUCCCGGACGCGGUCCCGCUCUCCUUCUCACACUCGACCUAGACGGCGCCAUAGAUCCCGAUCAAGAUCGUAUUCACCUAGAAGGCGGCCAAGCCCAAGAAGGCGGCCAUCUCCUCGAAGAAGAACUCCGCCAAGAAGAAUGCCUCCUCCACCAAGGCACAGAAGGAGUAGAUCUCCAGUAAGACGAAGAAGACGUUCGUCAGCAUCCUUGUCUGGGAGUAGCUCAUCAUCCUCUUCAUCUCGUUCACGGUCACCACCAAAGAAGCCUCCCAAGAGGACAUCCAGCCCCCCUCGGAAAACUCGUAGGUUAUCUCCUUCAGCAAGUCCUCCAAGGCGAAGGCACAGGCCAUCACCUCCUGCAACUCCACCACCCAAAACUCGGCAUUCCCCUACACCCCAGCAGUCAAACCGUACAAGAAAAAGUCGUGUUUCUGUGUCUCCAGGGAGAACUUCAGGUAAAGUGACAAAACAUAAAGGUACUGAGAAAAGAGAAUCCCCUUCACCAGCACCGAAGCCUAGAAAAGUAGAGUUAUCUGAAUCGGAAGAAGAUAAAGGUGGCAAAAUGGCUGCAGCAGAUUCUGUGCAGCAGAGACGCCAAUACAGACGACAAAACCAGCAGUCUUCAUCUGACUCUGGCUCCUCCUCCUCCUCAGAAGAUGAACGACCCAAGAGAUCCCAUGUGAAGAAUGGUGAGGUUGGCAGGCGGCGGAGACAUUCCCCUUCCCGGAGUGCUUCUCCAUCACCACGAAAGCGCCAAAAAGAGACUUCCCCUCGGAUGCAGAUGGGAAAGCGAUGGCAAUCGCCAGUGACUAAAAGUGGUAGACGGAGGAGAAGUCCAUCCCCACCACCCACCAGAAGGCGACGGUCUCCUUCUCCCGCCCCUCCUCCUCGACGGCGCAGGACUCCCACACCACCACCACGACGAAGGACUCCUUCUCCUCCCCCACGUCGGCGCUCACCUUCUCCUAGAAGAUACUCUCCUCCAAUACAGAGGAGAUACUCUCCUUCUCCACCUCCAAAGAGAAGAACGGCUUCACCUCCUCCCCCUCCUAAACGAAGAGCAUCACCAUCUCCACCACCAAAGCGGCGGGUCUCCCAUUCUCCACCUCCCAAACAAAGAAGCUCCCCAGUCACCAAGAGACGUUCACCUUCAUUAUCAUCCAAGCAUAGGAAAGGGUCUUCCCCAAGCCGCUCUACCAGGGAGGCCCGAUCACCACAACCAAACAAACGGCAUUCGCCCUCACCACGGCCUCGAGCUCCUCAGACCUCCUCAAGUCCUCCACCCGUUCGAAGAGGAGCGUCGUCAUCACCCCAAAGAAGGCAGUCCCCGUCUCCAAGUACUAGGCCCAUUAGGAGAGUCUCCAGGACUCCGGAACCUAAAAAGAUAAAAAAGGCUGCUUCCCCAAGCCCACAGUCUGUAAGGAGGGUCUCAUCCUCCCGAUCUGUCUCCGGGUCUCCUGAGCCAGCAGCUAAAAAGCCCCCAGCACCUCCAUCCCCCGUCCAGUCUCAGUCACCGUCUACAAACUGGUCACCAGCUGUACCGGUCAAAAAGGCCAAAAGCCCAACACCGAGCCCAUCACCGCCAAGAAAUUCAGAUCAGGAGGGAGGUGGAAAGAAAAAGAAGAAAAAGAAGGACAAGAAACACAAAAAGGAUAAGAAGCACAAGAAGCACAAAAAACACAAGAAGGAAAAGGCUGUGGCUGCAGCUGCUGCAGCUGCUGUGACCCCUGCAGCCAUUGCAGCUGCCACAACCACAUUAGCACAGGAAGAGCCAGUGGCAGCGCCAGAGCCGAAGAAGGAGACUGAAAGUGAAGCUGAAGAUAACCUUGAUGAUUUAGAAAAGCACCUGCGUGAAAAGGCCCUGAGAUCAAUGAGGAAGGCCCAAGUGUCCCCACAGUCUUAGGGGGAAAUGUUUGUUAUGAUGUAAAUUUUAUUUGGUUUGUACGCAGUUCAAUUUCAAAAUUGCUAAAAUGUGUUUGAGCUUUAGACUAUAACAUUUGUUGUAAUAAUUGCUAGGUUGAAGUUCAACAUGUAAAAAAAGGGGGCAUGGAUUUACAUUGCAAAAGGUGUCCACAGUGUAUUAGUGACAUUCUUUCAUUGACAGCUGACAUAAUUCAUUGAGUGAAAUAUUUUAAGCCAAAAAAAAUUCCCUUUUUAAAAAAGGGGGUUUAAAUACUGUUGGCAUUUUUAUGGUUCCUUUAAAUGCCCUGGCUAUUCCCAGAGGGGUUUUUUGUUUGUUUUUUUGGUUUUGAUUUUGUUUUUGUUUUUCUUUCUUCUUAUUUUUUUCAUUUGAGUCUUAGCUCCCAUUUAAGUUAUGCUUCUGACCUUGUAUGGUCUGUAAGCUUGCCCAGAAAUAAGACCACUGUUUUGAACUACCACAAAAGUAUAAAUGAAUAUUUUAAUGCCACAAUCUUUCCUGUUGCCUGUGGAGUCUCUGCUGAAAUGAAUCAGGAUUCGAGCUCUAGGAUGAGACAGAAAAUGAAAGCAUGUUGUUUGCCAGGACACUGUGGGUUUAUAUUGAUGUGUAACAAGUUGAUUUGGAACACUGGACUCUCAUUCUGUUCUUCUGGUUUUGUUUUUUUUGUUUUGUUUUUUUCUUUUGUAAAGGCAAUGAGCUAGUCCCAGAAAGGAUCCUUCAGUUACAUACAAUUUGUUUAAUGAAAUGUCAUGGCUCUGUUCAUAUUUUUGUCUUGUUCUUCCAAUUGGUACAUACAACUUUCAGAGCCUCUUGUAUUUGGAAGGCUGGAAGGGCGCAGACUUUGGAAUAGUGUCUUGGUUUCACUGUUUUUGUUUUGAUUUUUUUUUUUGAUUUUUUUUAAACUAAAGCUAUAUAAAGCUUGUGGAUUAAAC
rnacentral:lncRNA from 1 species